GCACUAACUUCUCCCUCUCCCUCCUCGCCUUGUACCCUGUUGUUUGUUUUUGUCUUCGUUUUUUCACGGUUUUAUUAUUAUUUCUUUGGUUAAUAGUUUUGUUAAUUAUUUUUGUCUUAAUCAAUUGUUAGGGUGUUUUUCCUGUUUGAUCCUUGAGUGAAAGUACAAGGCCCUGGUCCUGCUGAAGGAAUCCUGGAGCCGUCGUUUCUCCUUUCAUAAUCUAUCUUCCUGUACACCCACGAAUGUGGGUGUACAGGAAGAUAGAUUAUGAAAGGAGAAACGACGGCUCCAGGAUUCCCCGCUCUCUUCUCUUCUGGGCUCUGGACUACUGUGUGGCUUAUAGAACACGCUGCAAAGGAUUGUGGGAUAGUGCUCUUCAGCUUCCGGGACAGGUGGUGGCGGGCUUCUGGUGAAGUCCAGGGUUAGAGAUAGGCGGUUCCACAUCAUCACUCCCCUGUUAUGUUUACCAGCCCGGGAGCGCUUCUCUGUCAACUAUAGGCCUAUUUUUAUAAUAAUGAUACAGGGGCAAUGUAUAAACCAUAGGAGAGGAAAAAAAAUAAAGCGGCCUGCAGGUUUUCUAAUGUUGAUGAGUGUUCUCUCUCUCUCUCUGUCCAUAUCUGUGUCUCUCUCUCAAUCACCCAGGGAACGUUGGUAUAAUUUGGUGUUCUACAAUCAGAGGCUGUAUAUGGCUGUAGAACAAGUGGGAGAAAUUGUCCUAUGAUAUAAAUAUAUAUAAAUAUAUAUAAAUAUACGACUACGUGGUUAGCAAACAUUCUGUGUACUACACUCAUGCUUAUGUGUCAUUUUUCCUCUAAGUUCUAAUAUGAUUAAACUAAUCUGCUGCAUAUCUCUAGUCUUGUCAAUUCAAACGUGUGUGUGUGUGUGUGUGUGUGUGUGUGUGUGUGUGUGUGUGUGUGUGUGUGUGUGUGUGUGUGUGUGUGUGUGUGUGUGUGUGUGUGUGUGUGUGUGUGUGUGUGUGUGUGUGUGUGUGUGUGUGUGUGUGUGUGUGUGUGUGUGUGUGGUUACUAAAUUAGGACACAAGGGGGCACCAAUGAUGCCCCGACGUAGAGCAGAAUUACAUUAAGUAAUUUUGCACGGGGCCACAGUUGUGGUCGCAUGGGCCAAUCGGGGAAGGAGAAUUGUUUCCGUCAGACCAAUCGAGGUUGCAUUGACCUGCUGAGCCCUGGGUGCAAACCCAUUUAGACCGCAUGCAAAUGAUCCUUCGCAGUGGUCCUGAUCUCAUCCAAUCAUAUUUCCCCCCAAGGUGAUUUCCCAAGCCUAGCCAGAUCUCAUAUCCAAAUAUUUAUUCAAUUUUAGGUUAUGCUAAUGAUUCAGCAUUUCUCAUCUUUCUAUGUGGUGGUGUUUGAGUACCACAGAUUGUGUGUGUGUCUAGUCAAAAAAGAGUGGAGCAAAAGAGUGCAAGUUUAUGCACACAUGUUUGCAUGAGAGAGGGAAAUUGUAUAUAUUUGUGCGCAUGUGAGAGAGUUUGUCUGGCUGUGUGGAAGAGUGUUGAUUUUAUAAGAGUAGGUAUCUUUGUGUAUGUGAGCGAAGGCGUAUAUCAAAGUGUUAAUUAUUAAAUGAAUGUGCUUGUGAAAGUCUACUUGGUGCGAUGGUGUGUGUGUGUGUGUGUGUGUGUGUGUGUGUGUGUGUAAUGUGUAAAAAAAAAAAAUGUGUGAAUGUUUGUACUGUAUGCGUGUGUGAAAGGGCGUUGAUUUCAUGAGAGUCAUGUGCAUGUGAGCGAGAGAAAGGGAGCAUGAGUGUGUGUGUGUGUGUGUGUGGGGGGCAGUUCUGCAGCGGCAGAUGGCAGCCCAGUGUGAUGUCUGCUAGGAUGCAUGGAGACGCUGGCAGAGAGCGGCUCCUCCUCAGCUUCCAUCCAUCACUCCACCGCCCUCUUCCUCUCCUCCCGUGUUCCUCUCUCCUCUCUUUGUUUCUCCUCAAACCAUCCCCUUAUCUGUCUCAUCUCCACUCCUCAUCAAAAAAAGAUCAUUUAUAAUGAUCCCUGCAUGGAUAUGAUCCUUACCUAGCCGAGUGCCCUUUUUUUUUCAAAUACUAAUCACAGCUCUAUCUGUGUUCAUCUCAGUUCAUCUCUCUGUGUUCCGGUCCGUCUGUCCCUGGAGUUUUGGCCCCCGAUUGCUGGAUCUCUGCCGGCCUCCGCUGCUGACGGUCCUCCGCCUCAUAGUGUCCUUGAUAAAAACCAGUGUGUGUGUUCUUUCUUACAAAAAUGAACAUUUCCACUUCAUCUCAUGAUUCAUUUCCCCAGUGAAAGUGAUGUGAUACCACUCCACGACCAUUCUCUCCCCCUCUCUCACCUAUGCUUGCUCUCUCUCUCUCUCUCUCUCUCUCUCUCUCUCUCUCUCUCUCUCUCUCUCUCUCUCUCUCUCCUGCUCAUCCUGUAGCAUACCGUUGCUGUCAACCCCAAAGGGACGGCAGAAUGUGUUUGUCAAAGGUGUUCAUACAUCGCGGGCUCUUCAUUUUAACAAGCCGUGCCCCACCAGUGGGGUGUCAUAUUUUAAUUGGUCGCAAAUGCAAUAAAGCCGCUCUACACAGCACAUGUGUGACGGGUAUUAAUUACAUGCACACUAAUAGCCCUCAAACUCCACGCUGCCAUAUUGUCCCUCCUGCUGUUUUGAAUGUUUUUUUAUGCUCUCUCUAUUUGCUCCUUGCUGUCGCCACAUGUACCACAGAGAAGAACAGAGAAAUAUUGUCUGACAAAAUGAUCAGUCCCCAAGCUCCAAUCUGAAUGGUUUCGAUGGUCGCUGAAAUAGAAAGGUACUAUAACUGCCUGUGAUGAUUAAGCUCUGUGCUAUCGCGACUCAGCCGUCACUGCAGAGUCAAAGUUACUAUUCUGGGACUUGUACAUAGAGAUAUUUUCAUUCUGAAACAGGAUCAGGUGUGCCUGUUUGUGUGUGUGUAGAAAGGUGUGUAAGAGAAACCAGGUGACCGACACACAUUUAAUGUUAACUUAACAAAGGAUCCCCAAUGCAAUGUCCCCACGUAGAAAAAUAUUACAGCUCCUAACUUCACCUCUCUGUCUCUCUCUAUCCCUCUCUCUGCCUCUUUCUCUGUGUCUCUAUCAGUCUCACCUCUCCCUCUCUCCACUGUAUAGCGAUAGGCUGAGAUGUGUGAAAUAACUAGAACCAGUAUGUAUGAGGAGAUGCAGUUACUAUAACAACUAACAUGAGCGUUCUCCCUCUCUCCCUUGCCUUUUUUCCAACUCCCCGCAUCCCCGACCCACCCACCCACCCACCCCUCUCUCGCCUGC